CAUUCUCUCCAUUCAUUUACAGUAAACCAAAGGGCAGGAUGAUCUGAGGAUAUCCUGAUGUAGCAAAGGAUCGUUCACUUAUAAACCAGGUCGGUUGCCUGAUGUGACUGUCUCUUGCUCCUGCUCUCCUUCGCCAUCUCCCGGCAGACACUCUGUCAGGGUGAGGAUGCCCAUUGGCACCUGCCCCCACAGCUGGCACAGCAACCCUACAGCCAGGGCCACAGGAUGAGGAGGUGUUCCUGUUUGAGGAGGGAGAUCUGAACCUGUGGGCCGAGCCUGUCCAGUGGAUGCAGCUGCUACACAGAUACCUGGGUGUCCUCUUCAAAGCCCCAGAUCUGAAGGCUCUGAACCAGAACCAGGCAGAGCUCCUCAGUCUGUCAGCCCAGGAAGAUGCCAUGUCCCUGGCCACCCAUCAGGCUCUGGAGGACCUCCCAGCCAUGGCCCAGUUCUCCUGCACCAUAGAGCAUGCCCGGCUGGCCUGCAGCAGGAGAGGGCCACACUGGCUACGGGUUUUAGACUCCCAAGAAACAUUCUGAAUUUAACACUUAUACAAGCAAUAUACACAUUUUUUUUGACUAAAAUGGUUUGUUUUUAUCAGCGACGGAUGUAUGGGUUUUAGAAGGGAAUGUAAAGUGUUUAAGUUUUGAGUUUUAUCUGUGUUUUUCAAAGUAAAGAUGCCUAAUUCAUGUCUCGCGAUUCUUGAAAACAACCACAGGGCGGUAUGUGUGUGGAUUUGUUUUUAAUCUAACAUGUAUUAGCACGUUUUCCAGUGGACUCUUUUCAUCCCUUCGCAUAGGUUUUUAUGCCUCCUUGGUUUCCUAGGUUACGUAAUUAGGAGGGCAACACAAUGGUCCACUGUCCUGUGUUAGCGACUGCCCAGACAGCUGGGCAGUCUUGCGCUGUAGUAUGGCAAUGUUCCCUGUAGAAAUGAUGUAAUGUUCUGGAACUCUUGAACAUCCCCCAAUAAAAACAGCACUGUGUGA